GUGGGGAAUUUUGGACAAUGGGCGAAAGCCUGAUCCAGCCAUGCCGCGUGUGUGAAGAAGGUCUUCGGAUUGUAAAGCACUUUAAGUUGGGAGGAAGGGCAGUAAGUUAAUACCUUGCUGUUUUGACGUUACCGACAGAAUAAGCACCGGCUAACUUCGUGCCAGCAGCCGCGGUAAUACGAAGGGUGCAAGCGUUAAUCGGAAUUACUGGGCGUAAAGCGCGCGUAGGUGGUUUUGUAAGUUGGAGGUGAAAUCCCCGGGCACAACCUGGGAACUGCCUCCAGAACUGCAUGACUAGAGUACGGUAGAGGGUAGUGGAAUUUCCUGUGUAGCGGUGAAAUGCGUAGAUAUAGGAAGGAACACCAGUGGCGAAGGCGACUACCUGGACUGAUACUGACACUGAGGUGCGAAAGCGUGGGGAGCAAACAGGAUUAGAAACCCGAGUAGUCC
rnacentral:rRNA from 1 species